rnacentral:rRNA from 1 species
UUUGAUCCUGGCUCAGAUUGAACGCUGGCGGCAGGCUUAACACAUGCAAGUCGAACGAUGAUUAUCUAGCUUGCUAGAUAUGAUUAGUKGCGGACGGGUGAGUAACAUUUAGGAAUCUGCCUAGUAGUGGGGGAUAGCUCGGGGAAACUCGAAUUAAUACCGCAUACGACCUACGGGUGAAAGGGGGCGCAAGCUCUUGCUAUUAGAUGAGCCUAAAUCAGAUUAGCUAGUUGGUGGGGUAAAGGCCCACCAAGGCGACGAUCUGUAACUGGUCUGAGAGGAUGAUCAGUCACACCGGAACUGAGACACGGUCCGGACUCCUACGGGAGGCAGCAGUGGGGAAUAUUGGACAAUGGGGGCAACCCUGAUCCAGCCAUGCCGCGUGUGUGAAGAAGGCCUUUUGGUUGUAAAGCACUUUAAGCAGGGAGGAGAGGCUAAUGGUUAAUACCCAUUAGAUUAGACGUUACCUGCAGAAUAAGCACCGGCUAACUCUGUGCCAGCAGCCGCGGUAAUACAGAGGGUGCGAGCGUUAAUCGGAAUUACUGGGCGUAAAGCGAGUGUAGGUGGCUCAUUAAGUCACAUGUGAAAUCCCCGGGCUUAACCUGGGAACUGCAUGUGAUACUGGUGUUGCUAGAAUAUGUGAGAGGGAAGUAGAAUUCCAGGUGUAGCGGUGAAAUGCGUAGAGAUCUGGAGGAAUACCGAUGGCGAAGGCAGCUUCCUGGCAUAAUAUUGACACUGAGAUUCGAAAGCGUGGGUAGCAAACAGGA